GAUGAAGAACGUAGCUAAAUGCGAUAAGUAAUGCGAAUUGCAGAAUUCCAGUGAGUCAUCGAAUCUUUGAACGCACAUUGCGCCCGCUAGUAUUCUGGCGGGCAUGCCUGUCCGAGCGUCAUUUCAACCCUCAAGCCCCCGGGCUUGGUGUUGGGGAUCGGCGAGCCUCCGCGCCCGCCGUCCCCUAAAUCUAGUGGCGGUCUCGCUGUAGCUUCCUCUGCGUAGUAGCACACCUCGCACUGGGAAACAGCGCGGCCACGCCGUUAAACCCCCAACUUCUGAACGUUUGACCUCGGAUCAGGUAGGAAUACCCGCUGAACUUAAGCAUAUCAAUAAGCGGAGGA
rnacentral:misc_RNA from 1 species